rnacentral:rRNA from 1 species
UACGGAGGGUGCGAGCGUUAAUCGGAAUUACUGGGCGUAAAGCGCGCGUAGGCGGUCUGAUCAGCCGGUUGUGAAAGCCCCGGGCUCAACCUGGGAACGGCAUCCGGAACUGUCAGGCUAGAGUGCAGGAGAGGAAGGUAGAAUUCCCGGUGUAGCGGUGAAAUGCGUAGAGAUCGGGAGGAAUACCAGUGGCGAAGGCGGCCUUCUGGACUGACACUGACGCUGAGGUGCGGAAGCGUGGGUAGCAAACAGGAUUAGAUACCCUGGUA